GCCUAUGAAGCCGAUGGUCCCGGGUUCAAAUCCUGGUAAGGGCAUUUAUUCGUGUGAUGAGCAUGGAUAUUUGUUCCUGAGUCAUGGGUGUUUUCUAUGUAUUUAAGUAUUUUUAAAUAUUUAUAUAUUAUAUAUAUCGUUGUCUAAGUACCCUCAACACAAGCCUUAUUGAGCUUACUGUGGGACUUAGUCAAUUUGUGUAAUAAUGUCCUAUAAUAUUUAUUUAUUUAUUUAUUUAGUAUCAAUGGUAUCUAAUGUCCCAUCAAAAUAUACCGGGGGGUCCGGUAAUUAAUUGACAACCUUCUAACCUAUCAUUUUCUUGGGUUUAUAAUUUUAGUAAAAGUUUCGUGGUUUUCGAGAUAAUCAAACUUUUUUUUUUUUAAUUACCAACUACCCUACUAAUAAACAUUUAUCUUGAAAACCAGAAAAACCAGACUUAUAAAAUGUAUGUUUUUGUUUUUUAGCGAUGUGGGUCAAAAAGAAACAGGAGGGAAAUCUCCACACGCCGGUCCUGCACGCAACACGGACAUCCUCCACCUAAAUAUAUUAUUAGGGAUGGCAUUUAUCGCAAAAUAUAGUAUCAAUGGUAUCGAGAUGUUCAAGUAUGUAUACCUACGUUCUAUCGUAUAUUAUGUACAGUAGGUUUGUUGAAUGGAGCGCGCAACAUGGACAUCCUGCACCUAAUCGUAUUAUUAGGCAUGGAGUUUGUUACAAAUUGAAACCUGAAAGUUCCUGGAACUUUAAAAAAAUCCCUGACAUAAGUUUCAAACAGCAUUCCUAAAAUACAAAUUAUCACCGAACAAAUUGUAUCUAAAAAUAGACAAUAUGUUAUAUUUUCAACAAAUAUUUUCAUUGUGUGACCUCUAAAUGGCUCAUUCCAGAAACUUUCAGUAUUACCCACGGGAAAGGAUCCACGAAAACUUGAACUGGAACAAAAGAAUUGGAACUUUCCGUGAAUACGAAAACUCAUUCUUUUAAAUGACAAAAGACGGGUUCUUUUCGCUAACACGCUAAAUGUUUAUUGAAAAGUUUAAUUAAGACAAAAACUUUAAAUAGUGGUUUAAGUGUGAAGAGAAAUAAAAUAAAAUGUUGUUUUUUUUCAUAUUUUAUAUGUUUUUACUGCGGAAUGGUGUCAAUCAAACUCAUAAAUGAUUUAGGCAUCCUCGAUAUAUACGAAAACGAUACCAAACUUGGCCUAGUAGCUUAAACGAUAUAGAUAUCAAGAUAAAGUUGAGAGCCCCUUGAAAAUGUACAUCAAUAAUCUUGGUGACUCCAUUUCUUAAAUCCAUCCUUGUGUCAUAAUUCUAAGGACCAAUACUGCCAAAGGAAAUCUUUUGUUGACUUUGGAGCUACAACUACGAGUAUGUUAGUUAUCUUACAGUAAUUUGGGCUAGAAACAGCGGCGGUUUCUUCACCAUGAGCAUAGAUGGUUACACGUUUUACGAAAGCAGAUAGAUAGAUAGAUAGAAUACCCUUUAUUGGCAUGCCUCAGUGAAAAGACACAAGAAAAAAAAGACUAAAUGUAGAGGCAGACAACAGGCGGUCUUAUCGCUAAAGAGCGAUCUCUUCCAGACAACCUUUGGGAAGCGGAAAUAUAGAAGUUGAUCGAAAAAGUAGGUGUUGCUAAAACGUUAUAAAGCCUACAUUCACAUACACAAUUACAGUGUGGUGUGUGGUGUGGUGUGGUGUGGUGUGGUGUGGUGUGGUGUGGUGUGGUGUGGUGUGGUGUGGUGUGGUGUGGUGUGGUGUGGUGUGGUGUGGUGGUGUGGUGUGGUGUGGUGUGUGGUGUGGUGUGGUGUGGUGUGUGUAUAUAAGAAAUACAAAAAGACAUAUAUAAAUACAUAAGCAUAUGCAGUCAGAUGACUCAGGAGUAGCGCUGCAGCACGGGAGGUUGGAAACUCCACUGUAAAGCUCGCAUCAUCCGGCCAUAGGACACGAGGAAAUUCACCGUCACAAUUUAAACUAAUCAAAGGAUAUUUUUUUAACUUUACUUAAUCUUUAUUAUACUUAUAAGAAGAGUACUUAUAACUUACAGUUUUUGUUUUGUAAUAAAGUGAAAGCUAAAGUAAUUUAUUUUUAUCAAGUUAUCAAAACGGGUGUUUCAUUAAGCUAGGUUAUAAAUGUAAUACUUACAAUGAGAGAUAGCCUACUUUUCAAAAAAGGAUUGUGUUUAAUUUUGUUUCUUUUGUAAACCGUGGCCCAAUAAUAUUCCCUUAUUUUUAUUUCAAAAUCAACUUUGGCUAAGCGCUGGCGUUGGUAAACAAUUAUGUAUAUAUUUAGCACACAUCAGUAUUAAAAGUCAUUCAGCAGUAUUAUUUUAUACUUAUGAUCAAAGUAAUUAGACUCAUAUAUUUUUAAUGUUUCAGUGAUGUACGUAAAAUCGAAACGCGGGAAUCCCCUGCUGGUGGUCGCAAGUUACCCUUUCUUCAACCGACGCAACACCAUGUCAACAACAGAGUGGCGCUGCACCAAAUACCCCAGCUGCAUGGCCAGGGUCAUAACGAACACUCUCACGGGGGAAUUUGUUAGAGUUAUGAUCAAUCAUGGACAUGAAGCGCCUAAAUUUGUAAUAAAGGAUGGGUGUUUUAUAAAAAUAAUCAUAUGGACAAAGACCGUGCGUGAAAAAGACAAGCUAAUUGUGAACCGUUACUCUUUCUACCUCAAACGGCAGCUGAAUUCUUCCAUGGAGUGGCGAUGUACUAGAUACCCGUCCUGUGAUGCCAAGGUUGUCUGCAAUCCCUUGACCAAAGAAAUCGUUAGGAGUAUGCUCGGUCAUACGCAUUCGCCGCCCAACUUCCUUAUAAGAGACGGUUAUUAUUCGAAGAUAUAAUAAUUUUAUACGAUUGUUAAAAUAAAAUAUGCGUUUCAACGUAAAUUUAUUUAUUUUUUCUGAAUAUUCAAACAUAUAAUUAUCAAAGUGGCUAGUUAAGACGUUCACAGAUUUGCCGCCAAUCACAGAGCAGACAAUUUCUGUAAUAAUUUUAGUACAUGCUUUAACUUUUUUUUGUUAUACCGAGUGGCGGGUGUUUCAAGAAGUUUACAAUUCUACUAGACCUUAAAUAUAUUCGAUUACAAUAGUUUUUUUUUUAGGAAAAUGGGAUAUAGGUACUGAUUUAAAUUUGCCUUCUAGGUAAAUAAUCUCUUACUUCUCUUCUAAUCUCAGGCAACUAGCCAAGAUGAUAAUCGAUGAUAGAAAACGCCUACUUAAAUAAGGUAUGGAAAUAGUUACGUGACAUUUCCUAGCAUCUGUCACCCCGAUACAUGCUGUCUUUUCGUUUGGCGUUCAUCGAUGUACUUUCAUCUUCGAUAGGCUUGGUGGUCUAUCCAAGUCUUUUUACGUUUCUCUGUAGAAAUCUAUCAUACUAUUCUAAAUAUCUUCAGUACUAUGGACAAAAUCCCGUCGAGGAAAUGACAUGAUGAUAGUCAAUGGCUACUCCUUCUUCCUCAAGCGUCGGGCUGUAACCACCAUCGAGUGGAGAUGCACUAACCACUGCAACUGCAAGGCAAGAGUCAUCACGAAUGCAUUCACCAACAAGUUUAUGAAGUCCAUGUUGAAUCAUACGCAUGCAGCUCCGCAUUUUGUUAUAAGUAAGGGCUAUUAUCUUAAAAUAUAGUUGUUAUGUUUAAUUUUGUUGAAUAUCAUAGUUACGGAAGGCUAUGAAGCUAAGUAACUGACCGUUAUAUAUUUGUAAUAAAUAAUGUAAUUUCUUUCCAUCUCGUUUUAUUCUGGAGAAUAGAGGUAAUUUUGAAUUUUAUUACGCCAGCAAUGAUAAAUUCGUAGUUUGAUAUAUUGAGGAAAAAGCUCAACUAGAUCAAGGUAAUCUAUUAAUUAAGGGUUGUGAACCAAAGAUCAUGGCCAAAGUGAGGGUGGACGUUUAAGCAGUUUCAUCAUGAAGAUCCUUGUUUCUUGGUUCUGAUAGAUAUAUCAAAUAACCGGGAUAUUCUCCACAGUAUAUUCGAUUUGUUUUAAUAAUCUUUAUAUUUCAGUGACCUACAUAAGCAACGUGAGAGGCAAGGAGCUGUGCCUUGUUAACGGUUUCAGCUUCUACCUGCAGAGGCAUAUGAAGUCCAGUGUGGCCUGGCUCUGCACGUCCGGGUCCAAGUGCAAGGCUAAAGUGGUUACAACCGUUGACAGGAAAUUGAUAUAUGCGAAUUUAGAACAUGAGCAUGCUGCUCCCAAGUAUAUUAUACGAAAUGGAGUCUAUUUGAAAUUGUGAACUGGUUUGUGAGAUUGUGUUUAUACGAUGUACCUACCUACUGUUUUGUGGAGUUGUAAAAAUAAAGCUGCUUUUUACGUAUAA